rnacentral:lncRNA from 1 species
GGCAUCCCGUGUGCUGAAUCACAUUCCUUCCAGCUCCCUCUGGUUGUCAGUGGACAAGCCCAGCUUGACAUUAUUCCAUAUCUUACAUCGACUUCCAUCAGCAACACAACAAAGUACUCCUGCCCAUACUGUCAGCCUGCUAACGUUAGUGGACCAUCCAGAUAUCUAGAAUCAUGCAGGAAAAGUUGUACAGCAGAAUGGUCUAGCGACUCUUAUCACCAUCCAGACUGAGGACAAUAAAUAUGAAUGUAAUGUGAGAAGUCGGUGAUGGAGAAAAGUGUCCCAAAUGUGGCUUGGUUCCAAAGCCCCUACAGCAGGUUCUGUUUGCACCCACUGCAUUUUAAGCUUAUGACUACUGGAAUCUUUUUCUGGUUAAACAUUUCAGUAACAUUCUUGGAACCUGCUAGUGUCCCCAUGCUCAAUAAUUUGCCUCAAGUUGGAGUUAUGUUGAUCACAAUCAUCAAAAAUAAACAGCUGUGCUUUCUCUGCCUACAUGAGCUUUCAGCAAAUGAGGAAUCAAUGGGAUGAAAGGGGGAUUGGUUCCUGAACCAAGGUUUGAUGCACUAUUUUCACCACAAUAACCCAGUUUUUUGUAUUAAAUGAAUUAAAGAUGACUAAUGUUGCAACAUCAAUGUAUUUACUGUACACUGUAUUUUGUAAACAGCAUUCAAAUAAACUUAAACUCACAUAUGCUGCUCA